rnacentral:tRNA from 1 species
GGGAGUGUAAUGUAGUGGUAAGCAUCCAAGCUUUGGAAGUUUGUUAUCGAAGGUUCAAAUCCUUCCACUCCUA